rnacentral:misc_RNA from 1 species
GAAAUGCGAUAAGUAAUGUGAAUUGCAGAAUUCAGCGAAUCAUCGAAUCUUUGAACGCAUAUUGCGCCUCUCGGUAUUCCGGGAGGCAUGCCUGUUCGAGCGUCAUUGCAUCUCUCAAGCCUUGCUUGGUGUUGGGCCGGCAGUCCGGUGCUGGACUCGCCCCAAAGAUGUCGGCGGCGUCGCUCCGAUCUCAAGCGUGGUGGAUCUACUCAAGCUCGCUUUGGAGUUCGGUCGCCGCUCGCCGCAACGUCGUCCGCCUCAGGAUUUGACCUCGGAUCAGGUAGGAAUACCCGCUGAACUUAA